CAUAGUGUCAUGAGGCGAACCGGGGGAACUGAAACAUCUCAGUACCCCGAGGAAAAGAAAUCAACCGAGAUUCCCCCAGUAGCGGCGAGCGAACGGGGAGGAGCCCAGAACCUGAAUCAGUUUGUGUGUUAGUGGAAGCGUCUGGAAAGUCGCACAGUAAAGGGUGAUAGUCCCGUACACAAAAAUGCACAGAUUGUGAGUUCGAUGAGUAGGGCGGGACACGUGACAUCCUGUCUGAAUAUGGGGGGACCAUCCUCCAAGGCUAAAUACUCCUGACUGACCGAUAGUGAACCAGUACCGUGAGGGAAAGGCGAAAAGAACCCCGGCGAGGGGAGUGAAAUAGAACCUGAAACCGUGUACGUACAAGCAGUGGGAGCCUACUUGUUAGGUGACUGCGUACCUUUUGUAUAAUGGGUCAGCGACUUAUAUUCUGUAGCAAGGUUAACCGUAUAGGGGAGCCGCAGGGAAACCGAGUCUUAACUGGGCGUUAAGUUGCAGGGUAUAGACCCGAAACCCGGUGAUCUAGCCAUGGGCAGGUUGAAGGUUGGGUAACACUAACUGGAGGACCGAACCGACUAAUGUUGAAAAAUUAGCGGAUGACUUGUGGCUGGGGGUGAAAGGCCAAUCAAACCGGGAGAUAGCUGGUUCUCCCCGAAAGCUAUUUAGGUAGCGCCUCGUGAAUUCAUCUUCGGGGGUAGAGCACUGUUUCGGCUAGGGGGUCAUCCCGACUUACCAACCCGAUGCAAACUACGAAUACCGAAGAAUGUUAUCACGGGAGACACACGGCGGGUGCUAACGUUCGUCGUGAAGAGGGAAACAACCCAGACCGCCAGCUAAGGUCCCAAAGUCAUGGUUAAGUGGGAAACGAUGUGGGAAGGCAUAGACAGCCAGGAUGUUGGCUUAGAAGCAGCCAUCAUUUAAAGAAAGCGUAAUAGCUCACUGGUCGAGUCGGCCUGCGCGGAAGAUGUAACGGGGCUAAACCAUGCACCGAAGCUGCGGCAGCGACACUUAG
rnacentral:rRNA from 2 species